rnacentral:rRNA from 1 species
CAGCCGCCGCGGUAAUACGAAGGGUGCAAGCGUCAAUCGGAAUUACUGGGCGUAAAGCGUGCGUAGGCGGUGAGUUAAGUCUGCUGUGAAAUCCCCGGGCUCAACCUGGGAAUGGCAGUGGAUACUGGCUCGCUAGAGUGUGUCAGAGGAUGGUGGAAUUCCCGGUGUAGCGGUGAAAUGCGUAGAGAUCGGGAGGAACAUCAGUGGCGAAGGCGGCCAUCUGGGACAACACUGACGCUGAGGCACGAAAGCGUGGGGAGCAAACAGGAUUAGAUACCCGAGUAGUCCCUGUCUCUUAUAA